GUUUGAUCCUGGCUCAGGAUGAACGCUGGCGGCGUGCCUAAUACAUGCAAGUCGAACGGGGUGCAGCAAUGUACCAAGUGGCGAUCGGGUGCGUAACACGUAGCUGACCUACCUCUUGGCGGGGGACAACAGGCCGAAAGGCUUGCUAAUACCGCAUAAGUUCAGGGGCGUCAAAGAACCCUGAAGAAACGCGAAAGCGACCGAGAGAGGGGGCUGCGGCCCAUCAGGUAGUUGGUAGGGUAACGGCCUACCAAGCCGACGACGGGUAGGGGGCCUGAGAGGGUGACCCCCCACACUGGGACUGACAGACGGCCCAGACUCCUACGGGAGGCAGCAGUAAGGGAUAUUGGGCAAUGGGCGAAAGCCUGACCCAGCAACGCCGCGUGGAGGAUGACGGCCUUCGGGUUGUAAACUCCUUUUGUCGGGGACGAGACAAGGACGGUACCCGGCGAAGAAGUCACGGCUAACUACGUGCCAGCAGCCGCGGUAAAACGUAGGUGGCAAGCGUUAUCCGGAUUUACUGGGCGUAAAGCGUGUGCAGGCGGAUGGCCAAGUGGUGUAUGAAAGCUCCAGGCUUAACCUGGAGAGGUUAUGCCAGACUGGCCGUCUUGAGGCAGAGAGAGGGACAUGGAAUUCCGGGUGUAGUGGUGAAAUGCGUAGGGAUCCGGAGGAACUCCAGGGGCGAAGGCGGUGUCCUGGCUCUGACCUGACGCUCAGACACGAAAGCAUGGGGAGCGAACGGGAUUAGAAACCCCGGUAGUCCAUGCCGUAAACGAUGCAGACUAGGCGUCGGCGGUCUCAACCCCGUCGGUGCCGGAGCAAACGCGAUAAGUCUGCCGCCGGGGGACUACGACCGCAAGGUUAAAACUCAAAGGAAUUGACGGGGGCCCGCACAAGCAGCGGAGCGUGUGGUUUAAUUCGAGGCUACACGAAGAACCUUACCUGGGCUUGACAUACAGGUGGUAGGGAAGUGAAAGCGGACCGACCUUCGGGAGCCUGUACAGGUGCUGCAUGGCUGUCGUCAGCUCGUGCCGUGAGGUGUUAGGUUAAGUCCUGUAACGAGCGCAACCCUCGGGGCCAGUUACACGGUGUCGGGUCCGACUGCCCGCGAUAAGCCUGGAGGAAGGUGGGGAUGACGUCAAGUCAGCAUGGCCUUUAUGCCCAGGGCUACACACACGCUACAAUGGCCGGUACAAUGGGUCGCCAAGCCGCAAGCGGAGCCAAUCCAGACAAAGCCGGUCCCAGUUCGGAUUGUGGGCUGCAACCCGCCCACGUGAAGUCGGAGUUGCUAGUAAUCGCGAAUCAGCAUGUCGCGGUGAAUGCGUUCCCGGGCCUUGUACACACCGCCCGUCACACCAUGGAAGUUGGGAGCACCCGAAGCCAGUGGCCUAACCCGCAAGGGGGGAGCUGUCGAAGGUGAGAUCAAUGACUGGGUGAGUCGUAACAAGGUAGCCG
rnacentral:rRNA from 1 species